UACGUAGGGUGCGAGCGUUAAUCGGAAUUACUGGGCGUAAAGCGUGCGUAGGCGGUUCGCUGUGUCCGAUGUGAAAGCCCCGGGCUUAACCUGGGAAUGGCAUUGGAAACUGGCGGGCUUGAGUGCGGCAGAGGGGGGUGGAAUUCCGCGUGUAGCAGUGAAAUGCGUAGAGAUGCGGAGGAACACCGAUGGCGAAGGCAGCCCCCUGGGUCGACACUGACGCUCAGGCACGAAGGCGUGGGGAGCAAACAGG
rnacentral:rRNA from 1 species